CAGUGGAAAGCCAAAUUAGAGGCAUUUAACUGUUAAUUAAAAAACUGUAAUUUCUAUUACUUCACUGG
rnacentral:tRNA from 1 species